GAGAUAAAAGGCCAGAUCUAGUCCUGCUCCCACUUAUCAGGAACCACCAGACAGACUUCUCAACAUGGGGUUCCCUGCUCAGCUCCUGGGGCUGCUGAUGCUCUGGAUCCCUGGAUCCAGUGGGGAUAUCGUGUUGACGCAGACCCCGCUCUCCCUGCCCGUCAGCCCUGGAGAGCCGGCCUCCAUCUCCUGCAGGUCCAGUGAGAGCCUCCUGCACAGUGAUGGAAACACCUAUUUACAAUGGUUUCUUCAGAAACCAGGCCAGGCUCCUUGGCUCCUGAUCUAUAAGGUUUCCAACCGAGACUCUGGGGUCCCAGACAGGUUCAGUGGCAGUGGGUCAGGGACAGAUUUCACCCUCAAGAUCAGCAGGGUGCAGGCUGACGAUGCUGGAGUUUAUUACUGUCACCAAGGUACAAAAGUUCCUCCCACAGUGAUACAGCCCUGA